rnacentral:rRNA from 1 species
CCAGCCGAAAGGUUGGCUAAUACCGCAUACGUCCUACGGGAGAAAGCAGGGGAUCGCAAGACCUUGCGCCGAUGGAUGAGCCGAAGUCGGAUUAGCUAGUUGGUAGGGUAACGGCCUACCAAGGCGACAAUCCGUAGCUGGUCUGAGAGGACGACCAGCCACACUGGGACUGAGACACGGCCCAGACUCCUACGGGAGGCAGCAGUGGGGAAUAUUGGACAAUGGGGGCAACCCUGAUCCAGCGACGCCGCGUGUGUGAAGAAGGCCUGCGGGUUGUAAAGCACUUUUAGUGGGGAUGAAAAGCCUAGAGCUAACACCUCUGGGUCUUGACCUAACCCACAGAAAAAGCACCGGCUAACUCUGUGCCAGCAGCCGCGGUAAUACAGAGGUGCAAGCGUUAAUCGGAU